AUACGGAGGGGGUUAGCGUUGUUCGGAAUUACUGGGCGUAAAGCGCACGUAGGCGGAUUGGAAAGUUGGGGGUGAAAUCCCAGGGCUCAACCCUGGAACUGCCUCCAAAACUAACAGUCUAGAGUUCGAGAGAGGUGAGUGGAAUUCCAAGUGUAGAGGUGAAAUUCGUAGAUAUUUGGAGGAACACCAGUGGCGAAGGCGGCUCACUGGCUCGAUACUGACGCUGAGGUGCGAAAGCGUUGGGAGCAAACAGGAUUAGAUACCCUAGUAGUCC
rnacentral:rRNA from 1 species